rnacentral:rRNA from 1 species
AUUGAACGCUGGCGGCAGGCCUAACACAUGCAAGUCGGGCGGCAGCGGGAAAGUAGCUUGCUACUUUUGCCGGCGAGCGGCGGACGGGUGAGUAAUGCCUGGGAAAUUGCCCAGUCGAGGGGGAUAACAGUUGGAAACGACUGCUAAUACCGCAUACGCCCUACGGGGGAAAGCAGGGGACCUUCGGGCCUUGCGCGAUUGGAUAUGCCCAGGUGGGAAUAGCUAGUUGGUGAGGUAAUGGCUCACCAAGGCGACGAUCCCUAGCUGGUCUGAGAGGAUGAUCAGCCACACUGGAACUGAGACACGGUCCAGACUCCUACGGGAGGCAGCAGUGGGGAAUAUUGCACAAUGGGGGAAACCCUGAUGCAGCCAUGCCGCGUGUGUGAAGAAGGCCUUCGGGUUGUAAAGCACUUUCAGCGAGGAGGAAAAGUUGAUGCCUAAUACGUAUCAACUGUGACGUUACUCGCAGAAGAAGCACCGGCUAACUCCGUGCCAGCCGCCGCCGUAA